GGCGUCUUUUUUCGGACGUCCUGGCUGCAACACGUGCUCGUUGCCUUUUUGCCGUGGUGCCUGGAACGUGUCUCCGACUGCGCCUGCCAUGCUGAAGAUGUCCAUCGUGAGACAUUGUGGCGUGAUGGGGAGGCAACAUUGGAUUUUACACGUUGCCCAGUCAGCCACUCCGAAGAGCCUUGUGGCUUUGAGCCCUCAACUUAGAUGGCCUGGAUGACUUUGGCCUACACAUUGUGCACAUCUGCUCCCAUCACUUUCUUCUCGAGGACUAUGAGGCAAAUCCCGAAGUCCGGCGAAGCCUCGGCAUGGAUACAAAGAGAAUUCGACUGAAUCCAAACGCCGUACCUAUUCAAAAUCUCUUGUUCAACGUACCGUCGAGGGUGCGAAGGCCUUUGGAUGUACUCGACUCACCUGGCGUCAUAGAGAGGGUCGUCAAACGUUUGAAAACUCCGCAUUGAACGGCGGAUCACUCCACGCAAACAACUAGAAACGUCAUCGCAGCUUCCUGCCAGACUAACGAGAGCAAC